rnacentral:lncRNA from 8 species
AUCUACUGUAACUUUUCAUUUAAAACAAUAUUGCAACAAAAACCAGUUGAACAGGCAGAGGAGGGGCUGAAAUUCAGUGAGAUUGGAUCAGUUGCACAUCGGGUCAGUUGUACUGUACAUCGUCAUGUGGAGCCAUCGUCAGUUGUACAUCGUCAUGUGGAGCCACUACAACCAGAAAAAGGCCCUUGUUGGACCACACCCUUCUCUACACCUCUGCCCUCACUUACGGAUCAUGUUGUCCAGUUCCAUCAGCAGGAAAAGGAAACCGGGGUAACUGAUUGGCUCCGUGUAGCGCAGGCCAGACAUGACAAUCAGCUGCAGGACGAAGUCAUCCACCACCAUGCCUAGACCAGACCAGGCGAAAACAGAUCAAUUCAUGUUCAACCACAUCCCCUGCUGUUUCAGCAGUGUAAAUGCUGUUGGCAUACUGUUCAUAUGGACCAAUAGGGACUGAACAUGAAGAGUGGUGUUUUGGUGCCCCCUAAAAGGCACCAAUGGAAGCUUGUCAUAUCAUAAGUGUGUCCUACCUGCAGCUUUCAAUGCAGGUGAGACUUCAGGGUACUCCAGCAACUGGGGUUUGUUAUUGUCAAAUGUCAUGAAUAUAUCCUUUUGUUAAGUGGAAGAUCAAGACCAGCAUGACUGAAUAAUCUUUUCAGACAAAUAUAAUUCAAUCACUUCACAUGCAUCGCAACAGGUCGUGUGAUUGAAUUAGCUCAGUGACACAUGAUUGAAUCAGAAGUCACAAGUCACUAUAAUAUUUCCUUUAGCCAAUCCAAAUUAGACUUCCAAGACACAAAGCCUGCUUUAGCCAAUCAAACUACUGUCCAAUCCUCUCAUCAUUUUGAAAGAACAGAAUGAUUGAAACUGUAAACCUUCCACUGACAGACGGUUUAGUAUGGUUUAGACCUUAUUGUCCAUUUCCAUUUCCUGAUCUUGUCCCAGAGUGCCUGGAACCCCUGCCAGUCUAGCUGAGCUAACCCCCAACUCUGGGUUGACACUGCAGUCAAGAAAAUGGUCCAUCAAAAAAUUAAGGUCUUGGUAGAUUAGCAGACCAAGUGAGGUCAUGGUGGACAAGCUACCCUACCUUUGUAUGUCUAUGUACAUACAUGGCAUGUGUGUAACGUUACACAUUACAUAGCCCUUUUUUUUGGGGGGGGGGCUAUGAUCUUCAAACAAUCGGCCAAGCCGAGGCUCGGACCCCAUCGCCAGGGGGAACAUAUGAGCUUAGACUGCUACACCAGAAUCUGGCAUACA